rnacentral:rRNA from 1 species
AUCUUGCGCAAUGGCCGAAAGGCUGACGCAGCGACGCCGCGUGGGGGAGGAAGGCCUUCGGGUUGUAAACCCCUGUUGCCCGGGACGAACCCCUGGUUUCGACCCAUCUGACGGUACCGAGUGAGGAAGCACCGGCUAACUCCGUGCCAGCAGCCGCGGUAAUACGGAGGGUGCGAGCGUUGUCCGGAAUCACUGGGCGUAAAGGGCGCGUAGGCGGUCUGGUAAGCGUGUGGUGAAAGCCCGGGGCUCAACCCCGGGUCUGCCGUGCGAACUGCCGGACUUGAGCACUGUAGAGGCAGGUGGAAUUCCGAGUGUAGCGGUGGAAUGCGUAGAGAUUCGGAGGAACACCGGUGGCGAAGGCGGCCUGCUGGGCAGUGUCUGACGCUGAGGCGCGACAGCGUGGGGAGCAAACAGG